rnacentral:rRNA from 1 species
UACGGAGUGUGCAAGCGUUACUCGGAAUCACUGGGCAUAAAGCGCGCGUAGGCGGGCUUUCAAGUCGGUUGUGAAAUCCCUCAGCUCAACUGAGGAACUGCAUCCGAUACUGUUUGUCUUGAGGACGAGAGGGGAGAGUGGAACUUCUGGUGGAGCGGUGAAAUGCGUAGAUAUCGGAAGGAACGCCGGUGGCGAAAGCGACGUGCUGGACCUUUUCUGACGCUGAUGCGCGAAAGCCAGGGGAGCAAACGGG